rnacentral:rRNA from 1 species
UGUGGUUUAAUUCGAUGAUACGCGAGGAACCUUACCAAGGCUUAAAUGGGAAUUGACAGGUUUAGAAAUAGACUUUUCUUCGGACAAUUUUCAAGGUGCUGCAUGGUUGUCGUCAGCUCGUGCCGUGAGGUGUUAGGUUAAGUCCUGCAACGAGCGCAACCCCUGUCACUAGUUGCCAUCAUUCAGUUGGGGACUCUAGUGAGACUGCCUACGCAAGUAGAGAGGAAGGUGGGGAUGACGUCAAAUCAUCACGGCCCUUACGCCUUGGGCCACACACGUAAUACAAUGGCCAGUACAGAGGGCAGCUACCAGGCGACUGGAUGCGAAUCUCGAAAGCUGGUCUCAGUUCGGAUUGGAGUCUGCAACUCGACUCUAUGAAGCUGGAAUCGCUAGUAAUCGCGCAUCAGCCAUGGCGCGGUGAAUACGUUCCCGGGCCUUGUACACACCGCC